UAGUCCACGCCGUAAACGAUGACAACUAGCUGUUGGGAGACAAGAUCUCUCAGUGGCGCAGCUAACGCUUUAAGUUGUCCGUCUGGGGAGUACGGCCGCAAGGUUAAAACUCAAAGAAAUUGACGGGGACCCGCACAAGCGGUGGAGCAUGUGGUUUAAUUCGAAGCAACGCGAAGAACCUUACCAACCCUUGACAUCCUGAUCGCGGAUCGCAGAGAUGCUUUCCUUCAGUUCGGCUGGAUCAGUGACAGGUGCUGCACGGCUGUCGUCAGCUCGUGUCGUGAGAUGUUCGGUUAAGUCCGGCAACGAGCGCAACCCUAUUUCUAGUUGCCAGCAUUCAGUUGGGCACUCUAGCAAAACUGCCCGUGAUAAGCGGGGAGGAAGGUGGGGGACGACGUCAAGUCAUCAUGGGCCCUUACGGGGUUGGGGCUACACACGUGCUACAAUGGGCGGUGACACUAGGCAGCGACGGGGGCGACCC
rnacentral:rRNA from 1 species